AAUCAACGCUGGCGGCGUGCCUCAGACAUGCAAGUCGAACGCGAAAGUUCCCUUCGGGGGAUGAGUAGAGUGGCGCACGGGUGAGUAACACGUAGGUAAUCUACCUUUGGAUGGGGAAUAACAACCGGAAACGGUUGCUAAUACCGCAUAAUGCAGCGGCACCUAAUGGUGACAGUUGUUAAAGCGGGGGAUCGAAAGACCUCGCGUCUGAAGAGGAGCCUGCGGCGGAUUAGCAGUUGGUAAGGUAACGGCUUACCAAGGCGACGAUCCGUAGCCGGCCUGAGAGGGCGGUCGGCCACACUGACACUGACAUACGGGUCAGACUCCUACGGGA
rnacentral:rRNA from 1 species